rnacentral:rRNA from 1 species
GAUGAACGCUGGCGGCGUGCCUAAUACAUGCAAGUCGAGCGAACAGACGAGGAGCUUGCUCCUCUGACGUUAGCGGCGGACGGGUGAGUAACACGUGGAUAACCUACCUAUAAGACUGGGAUAACUUCGGGAAACCGGAGCUAAUACCGGAUAAUAUAUUGAACCGCAUGGUUCAAUAGUGAAAGACGGUUUUGCUGUCACUUAUAGAUGGAUCCGCGCCGCAUUAGCUAGUUGGUAAGGUAACGGCUUACCAAGGCGACGAUGCGUAGCCGACCUGAGAGGGUGAUCGGCCACAUUGGAACUGAGACACGGUCCAGACUCCUACGGGAGGCCGCAGUAGGGAAUCUUCCGCAAUGGGCGAGAGCCUGACGGAGCAACGCCGCGUGAGUUAUGAAGGUCUUCGGAUCGUAAAACUCUGUUAUUAGGGAAGAACAAAUGUGUAAGUAACUAUGCACGUCUUGACGGUACCUAAUCAGAAAGCCCCGGCUAACUACGUG